UACCAGCACCCCGAGUGGUCGGGACGUUUAUUGGGCCUAAAGCAUCCGUAGCCGGUUCUACAAGUCUUCCGUUAAAUCCAGCUGCUUAACAGAUGGGCUGCGGAAGAUACUAUGGAGCUAGGAGGCGGGAGAGGCAAGCGGUACUCGAUGGGUAGGGGUAAAAUCCGUUGAUCCAUUGAAGACCACCAGUGGCGAAGGCGGCUUGCCAGAACGCGCUCGACGUUGAGGGAUGAAAGCUGGGGGAGCAAACCGG
rnacentral:rRNA from 1 species